rnacentral:rRNA from 1 species
CAGCAGCCACGGGAAUACGUAGGGUCCGAGCGUUGUCCGGAAUUAUUGGGCGUAAAGAGCUCGUAGGCGGUCUGUCGCGUCUGCCGUGAAAUCCUCAGGCUCAACCUGAGGCGUGCGGUGGGUACGGGCAGGCUAGAGUGCGGUAGGGGAGAAUGGAACUCCUGGUGUAGCGGUGGAAUGCGCAGAUAUCAGGAAGGACACCGAUGGCGAAGGCAGUUCUCUGGGCCGUAACUGACGCUGAGGAGCGAAAGCGUGGGGAGCGAACAGGAUUAGAUACCCCCGUAGUCCCUGUCUCUUAUAC